rnacentral:rRNA from 1 species
AGAUUGAACGCUGGCGGCAGGCCUAACACAUGCAAGUCGAGCGGCAGCACGGGUACUUGUACCUGGUGGCGAGCGGCGGACGGGUGAGUAAUGCCUAGGAAUCUGCCUGGUAGUGGGGGAUAACGCUCGGAAACGGACGCUAAUACCGCAUACGUCCUACGGGAGAAAGCAGGGGACCUUCGGGCCUUGCGCUAUCAGAUGAGCCUAGGUCGGAUUAGCUAGUUGGUGAGGUAAUGGCUCACCAAGGCGACGAUCCGUAACUGGUCUGAGAGGAUGAUCAGUCACACUGGAACUGAGACACGGACCAGACUCCUACGGGAGGCCAGCAGUGGGGAAUUUUGGGACAAAUGGGCGCAAGCCUGAUCCAGCAAUGCCGCGUGCAGGAGAAGGCCUUC